rnacentral:rRNA from 1 species
UACGGGGGGGGCAAGCGUUGUUCGGAAUUAUUGGGCGUAAAGGGUGCGUAGGCGGUCUGAUAAGUCUGAUGUGAAAUCUAUGGGCUCAACCCAUAGUCUGCAUCGGAAACUGUCGGGCUUGAGUAUGGGAGAGGUGAGUGGAAUUUCCGGUGUAGCGGUGAAAUGCGUAGAGACCCGGAGGAACACCAGUGGCGAAGGCGGCUUCCUGGUCUGCGACUGACGCUGAGGCGCGAAAGCUAGGGGAGCAAACGGG